AGUGAACGCUGGCGGUAGGCCUAACACAUGCAAGUCGAACGGCAGCACAGUAAGAGCUUGCUCUUACGGGUGGCCAGUGGCGGACGGGUGAGGAAUACAUCGGAAUCUACUUUUUCGUGGGGGAUAACGUAGGGAAACUUACGCUAAUACCGCAUACGACCUACGGGUGAAAGCAGGGGAUCUUCGGACCUUGCGCGAUUGAAUGAGCCGAUGUCGGAUUGGCUGGUUGGGGGGGUAAAGGCCCACCAAGGCGGCGAUCCGUGGCCGGUCUGAGAGGAUGGUCGGCCACACUGGAGCUGGAACACCGUCCAUACUCCUACGGGAGGCAGCAGUGGGGAAUAUUGGACAAUGGGCGCAAGCCUGGUCCAGUCAUACCGCGUGGGUGAAGAAGGCGUUCGGGUUGUAAAGACCUUUUGUUGGGAAAGAAAAGCAGCAGGUUAAUACCCCGCUGUUCUGACGGUACCCAAAGAAUAAGCACCGGCUAACUUCGUG
rnacentral:rRNA from 1 species